GAAUACUCAUAGGUAUGCAACCAAUACGAUGUCCUCAAUGCAAUUAGUAAAGAUGUCAUUGUUUACAUUUCUAGUCGAUGUCCAGUCAAUACACUAAGUCAUCAUCUGUCCACAUGUCAUAGUGAAUACUUAAAGUCAAAUCUGAAGAGACCCACCCGAAGGCUGUCUAUGGCCCUGAGACCCACCCGUAGGCUGUCUGGCCGAUGCCGAGCCUAAUGGCCCCGUGGUAGUCAUCAUCCCCACCCUAGGAAUGAGCCUGGCCCACGGCAAUCCACUUCGGCGCCCAAUCCCGCACGGCGAAUAUGAAUCGCGAUGGCUAUCUCCGGAGUGCCGGCUUGUAGGGAGCGACCCUCACAAGCAUGUGCGAAUGAGCACAAUGGCAAGUAGUCAUAUGUCCUGUCACAAGUACCAAGUCCUCAUGUCUAAUAACAUGGAAUGUAUCGAAUGUCCCAAAGGCCUAUCUCUAUGUCAUUAUGUCUCUAACAUGGAAUAUAUAUAGCAGAUAUACAAUGGCCUAACAUUAUGUCUCUAUGUUGCAGUUUCAUAGUUUACUAGUUUCAAGUGCCUCUUGAUGACACUUAAUGUUACUAAGUCCAAACAUAGUAUAAUGUUUCCAAUACACGAAUAAGAGCUAAUUUAGCAUACUAGACGAGAAUCCCAUUCGUCCAUAUGAACACUCCUCACAUGCAUGAAAAUAACCCUGAUUACUCUACUAUAUAGAGUGAAAUUUAACUUACACAUAAGACAUGCAUUUUAAGUGUUCUAAAAUUCACAUAAAUUCUAAUUAGCAUAGAAAUGCAUUUAAAAUACUUUACAACAAGUAUAGGGAACAUAGGGGCCAUUUUUCCCCUUUCCACGAAGUCAAACCCACCGAUUUUUCGAACUCUUCGUUUCGCCGAACGAAGGUGUCCACUAGCCUCCUAAUACCCUAAGGAUGUAGGAACAAGUGUUAUCCAAACGAAACGAACAACGGAUUGCUCAAACAAUAACCAUUUCGGGAUAGGGUUGAAGAAAACUCACCGAUUGCGAAGGAAGCUCUCACGAUCUCCAAAUGAGAGUUAGAGUCCUUCCAAUCUAACCUAAACAAAGGUUCUAAACCCAUCAAAUAGGUUUCAAAGCCCUCAAAUCAAAAAUCCCCAUUUAUAACCCUAAUAUGCCAAAUCUAGGGUUUCAUCUAGCAUAAUCCAUCAAAAUAUGUACCAAAAGGGAAAUACAUGUUACUAACCUCUCUAGAAGCUCCAAACCAAGUUCCAAGUGCUCUAGGGUUGGAGUUCCUUCCUCUAUCAAGCUCCUAGUCCAAGCUCCAAUGGUGGAAAAGCCUCCAAUCAAGCAAAAAGAACAAAAGAGUGGUUUAAUCCACCAAAACCUAAGCUAAAAGAGGAUCAAAACCAAAUGGAGUAGUGGAGAGGGCAACCCUACCUCUUCCUCUGCUGUUCCAAGCUCAGGGAGAGGUCCAAGGGGCGUGGGUGUUAUAUAGAGUAGCCACAAUCGCAAAAACACCCUGCAGUUCGAACUGCUCAGAAAUUGCACUACAUACCGGUACACGGGCCCGCGUACCGGUACACAACCCACAAAAAUGCCAAACCCGAGCCUCAGGUUCGCUGAGAAGUGCGCUGUGUGCCAGUACGCGAGCCCGUACCGGUACAGCCAUCAACCCCGUACCGGUACAGCAAGCAACCACGUACCGGUACGCGGUCUGCUGAUGCCUACCCGAGAGCUGACCAAAAAUCCGAUUUUUCAGGUUUUGGCGCCAAGCUUAAAACCUCCAUUCUCGGGACUCGAACCAUAGGUUGGAACACUGUCAACGACCCACCAGAAAGUCUGGAAAAGCUCAGAACACAAUCAAUCACUCGAACCCCGCAAUUUGCAAGGUCCAGUGCGUUACAACAAAUAAAGAUCCAAAACCCAUAAUCCACAAAUAAAGAUCCAAAACCCAAAGAUCCAAAAUCCAAAGUCCAUAAAUAAAACCCAAUCAAAUCUACCAAGCCUAUGUCAUCAAAAUACCUCCAACCCAAACCGAAUUCAUGGGCUUUCCAAAUGGGCCCUUUAUUGUGAAUUAAUUCUAUGAAUUAAUUUCCUGGGCUUUCCAGAGGCCCCCUAUCAUGAAUUAAUUCGACAAAUUAAUUUCAUGGGUCUGCCAAAUAGGCCCUUUAUCACGGAAUAAUUCUAUGAAUUAAUUUCAUGGGCCCUCCUUGUCAUAGAUUAAUUUAAUGAAUUAAUGGGCCCUCCAAAUGGCUCCUUAUCAUAAAUUAAUUCAACGGGCUCUCCAAAUGGCCCCUAUCAUGAAUUAAUUUCAUGAAUUCAAUGGACUUUAUAAAUGGGCUCCUAGCAUGAAUUAAUUUUAUGAGUCAGUUUCAUGAACAUCUCGAUUUUAAACGACCAAAACGUCGUUAAACUAAACCCAACGAUCGAAACGUCGUUAAACUAAACCCAACGACCGAAACGUCGGUAAACUAAACCCAACGACCGAAACGUCGGUAAACUAAACCCAACGACCGAAACGUCGUUAAACUAAACCCAACGACCGAAACGUCGGUAAACUAAACCCAACGACCGAAACGUCGUUAAACUAAACCCAACGACCGAAACGUGGUUAAACUAAACCCAAAUCCAAACGACCGAAAUGUCGCUAAACUAAACCCAUAUUCAGACGACCGAAACGUCGCUAAACUAAACCCAAAUUCGAACGACCGAAACGUCGUUAAGCUAAACCCAAAUUCAAACGACCGAAAAGUCGUUAAACUAAACCUAAAACUUCAAUCGACUACCAAGUUGCUAAAUUGAAUAUCCAGUCUUAUAAAAUUUAUGUACAGUUGGGGAAUGCCCUUGCUUAAGCCAUGUACACGGCAAAUCAUAUUAAUAAAAUUUUAUUUGCCUGUUUGGUCUCCUUUAUUAUCAGCAUUUAUAUUUGGUCUCUUAAUCGAGGGUUCCUUAACACCGAAAGUGUGGGGUAAUUAACAGCAGAUUCUUGAGUCUAUUGGAAGCCAUGAAUCUAUAAUCCUGAUUUCAAAAUAAAAUUCAAACAAAUUUUAUCUCUACCAUGAAUGACCACUCGCCCUAGAAACAACCAACGGCGGGGCCGGUUCGUUCGCGACAGACAGUCCCUAUGUUGCAGUUUCAUAGUUUACUAGUUCAAGUGCCCCUUCAUGGCACUUUGGUCCAACAAGUUCAAGCAUGAUUUUUGGUGUUCAUGAAUACAUAAUUUAAGUCAUUUUGAACAUAGAAGACAUGUUUUCCAAUUGUUAACAUGAAUACUUCUCACAUGCAUGCAAAACCCUCAGAAUGCUCUACUAUAUAGAGUGAAAUUUUCAUAAUACAUAUGGCAUGCAUUUUAAGUAUUCUAAAAUUCAUAGAAAUUCUAUCUAGCAUGAAUAUGCAUGAAUUUUAACGUUACGACGAGUAUAACACCCAUAGGGGGCAUUUUGCCCCGGUUUCAUAAAAUCAAACCUACCGAGCUUCAACACAGCUCUUCGAUCGAGCCGACGAAGGUUACCGCCACUCUCCUAGCACCCUAGAGGUAAUACUAAAAGAGUUAAAUGAACCUUACAAUCAACACUAAGCUCAAUCUUUAACCGUCUCAAAAAAAGGGCAAAACUCACCUCUAGUGUGGAAGUCCCUUCUCAAGCUCCAAAGGAGAGCUAGAACACUUCCAAUCCAACCUAAAGGAGGGUUCUAAUCCAAGAGAUUGAGCCCCAAAAGCCCUAAAUCCAAAAUGCCCGAAAUCAACCCUAGGUUCCUAUUCUAGGGUUCAUCUCAAAGGAACCAUCAAAACAAGGAUCUAAAAGAAAGAAACUUGUUACCAACCUCUUGGAAGCUUCAAUCCAAGCCCAAAGUCCACAAGCUCCCAAGAUCUUCCCUCAAAUAAGCUCCAAGUCCAAGCUCCAAGCCUCUACCAAGGUAGAGAUUGCUCCAAAAGGCAAAAAGAAAAGUAAAUCCACCAAAAUCCAAGCUAAAAGGGGGUCAAAUCCAAAUGGGAUGGUGAAGAGGGCUCCCUUACCUCUUUCCCUGCUGGUGCCAAGCUCAGGGAAGGCCCUGGGGGCGUGGGGUGCUAUAUAGAAUAGCAAUAAUCGCAAAAACACCCCUACAGUUCGACCAGUUCAGAUUCUGCCAAAAUGUACCGGUACGCAAGCAAGUGUACCAGUACAAAUCCCACGAAAAUAGCAAACACGAGUCUCGGGUUUGAAAUUCGUCACAUGUGUACCGGUACAACCAUCAACGUGUACCGAUACAAAGUCUGUACCGGUACAACCAUCGACCUGUCACCGGUUACACAGUGUGCAGAGUGCAAUCCGAGGGUAGCCUAAGUCCAUCUCUUUGGUGACCUUAGCACUACAUAAAAUACUACAAUUCUCAGAAUACGAGCCAUAGGUCGGAACACUGUCAACGACCCACUAGAAAAUCUAAAAAAAGCUCAAAACACAGAUCAAACACUCAAACCUCGCAAUUUGCAAAGGUCCAGUGUGUUACAUUUACCCCUCCUAAAAAGGAGUUUUGUCCGCGAAACUCGAAACACAACAUACCUCAAGACUCCAUCUGAAAAAAAUAGGGAUAGCGCUCCUGCAAAGCGCUCUCAAGUUCCCACGUGGCCUCUCGCUCCCCGUGGUUGCUCCAAAGAACCUUCACACACGGAAUAUCCCGAUUCCGCAACUUCCUCACCUCGCGAGCCAAGAUCCUAACGGGCAGCUCCUCAAAGCUCAAAUCUUCACGCAACUCCAAAGGUGUAGCAUCCAACAUAUGAGUCGGGUCGAAUAUGUACUUCCAAAGGACUGAUACAUGAAAGACGUUGUGUACGCCCGAUAGGUUCGGCGCUAGAGCAAGUCUAUACGCUACCGGGCCCACACGCUCCAAGAUUUCAUACGGUCCAAUUAAACGGGGGGCUCAACUUACCCCGCAUCCCGAAUCUCUUGAUUCUUCUAGUCGGCGAGACUUUCAAGAACACAUGGUCUCCAACUUGGAACUCCAAGUCUCGCCGCCGUCGAUCGGCGUAGCUCCUCUGUCUACUCUGUGCCGUCAAAAGUCGCUCCUGAGCAAUACGAAUCAUAUUCUCAGCUUCCUGGAGCACAUCAGGGCCUAAAGCCAAUCUCUCGCCAACUUCACUCCAAUGGAGUGGCGAUCUACACUUCCAUCCAUAUAGUUCUUUGAAGGGCGCCAUCUUGAUGCUUGCUUGAUAACUAUUGUUAUAAGCAAACUCUGCCAUAGGUAGGUGCUGCGAUCAUCCUCCCUGGAAGUCUAUCACACAUGUUCGGAGCAUAUCCUCUAAUGUCUGAAUAGUGCGCUCCGACUGUCCAUCACUCUGAGGGUGGAAUGCUGUGCUGAAAUCCAAUCGAGUGCCUAGGGCGUCCUGCAGACUCCUCCAAAAGUGAGACACAAACCGGGUGUCUCAAUCAGAUACAAUCGAAGUAGGCACUCCGUGAAGUCGCACAAUCUCAUCAAGGUACACUUAUGCGAGCUUCUCCCCAGUCCAAGUCGUAUGUAUAGGUAUGAAGUGCGCCGACUUCGUCAACCUAUCCACGAUCACCCAAAUAGCGUCAUGCCCGGCCUGAGAGCGGGGCAAUCCAGUCACGAAAUCCAUGGUGAUCUUCUCCCACUUCCACACGGGAAUAGGUAAACUUUGAAGUUUUCCCGCGAGCAGUCGAUGCUCAGCCUUCACUUGUUGGCAAGUUAGACAACGAGCUACAAACUCGCCAACAUCCUUUUUCAUCCCGGGCCACCAAUACAGUAAUUUUAAGUCCUUGUACAUCUUGGUGCCUCCCGGAUGUACAGCAUAGGGUGCUCGGUGUGCUUCUUGAAGAAUAUCUUCUUUAAUUUCCGAAUCCGCAGGCAUACACAACCGUCGACGAAAACGCAUGUCCUUGGUCAUUCAAAAGGAAAUUGCCGGUGCAACCAUCAACCAUUUCAUCUUUAAUCCUUUGCAACUCCACAUCGGAAGCUUGCUUUCCUUUAAUUCUAUCCAACAAAAUAGGUUGCACUACCAAGGUCAUCAACCUCAAGGGUGUGUCUGGAGUCACCACCUCUAACUCCAACCGCUUCAUCUACUCGAUCAACUGCGGUUGAGUAACAACAUGCAUCGCUAAGUUUUCCGUCGAUUUCCUACUUAGCGCAUCCGCCACCACGUUAGCCUUGCCCGGGUGGUAGAGAAUCGUCAGAUCAUAAUCCUUUAGUAGCUUCAACCAUUUGCGCUGCCUCAAGUUCAACUCCUUCUGAGUGAAUAAGUACCUCAAGCUCUUGUGAUCCGUGUAUACUUCACACCGCUCGCCAUAAAGAUAGUGGCGCCAUAGUUUCAAUGCAAAGACUACGGCCGCCAACUCCAAGUCAUGCGUCGGAUAGUUCCUUUCAUAUUCCUUCAAUUGGCGAGAAACAUACGCGAUCACCUUGCCAUCCUGCAUCAAAACGCAACCCAAUCCAUUAAGAGAUGCAUCACUAUAAACCACAUACCCUGCUCCAGCAACUGGCAGGGUUAGGAUCGGGGCAGUCGUCAAUCUUUGCUUCAACUCUUCGAAGCUCCUUUCACACGCAUCGUUCCAAAUGAACUUAACGCCUUUAUGCGUAAGCCUCGUGAGGGGAGUAGAUAACUUAGCAAACCCCUCGACAAACCUCUGGUAAUAGCCGGCCAAUCCAAGAAAACUCCGUAUCUCCGUGACGCUCGUCGGUCUCGGCCAAUCCAUGAUAGCCUCAAUCUUCUUAGGAUCCACAGCUAUACCCGAUCCCAAAAUCAAAUAUCCAAGGAAUGCCACCUCUCGAAGCCAAAAUUCACACUUUUUCAACUUGGCAUAAAGCUCAUUUUCCUGAAGUAUUUGAAGUAAAAGCCUCAAAUGUUCCUCGUGAUCCGCAUCACUUCGGGAGUAAACCAAGAUGUCGUCGAUGAACACCACGACGAACCUGUCUAGAUAAGGCUUAAAAACACGAUUCAUUAGAUCCAUAAAAGCUGUUGGGGCAUUAGUAAGCCCGAACGGCAUAAUUGUGAACUCAUAAUGUCCAUACCGUGUUUUAAAAGCCGUCUUCGAUACAUCCUCGGGCUUGAUCCUUAACUGGUGGUAUCCCGACUACAAGUCGAUCUUGGAAUACACACUCGAUCCUUGAAGCUAAUCAAAUAAGUCGUCGAUCCUCGGCAACGGAUACUUAUUCUUGAUCGUGACUUUAUUAAGCUCACGAUAAUCCACACAUAGGCGUAAAGAUCCGUCCUUCUUCUUGACGAACAAAAUUGGCACUCCCCAAGGCGAGACGCUUUGUCUAAUGAAGCCUUUGUCCAACAAAUCCUGCAGCUGUGCCCUCAGCUCCUUCAGCUCUGCCAGUGCCAUCCUAUAGGGUGCCUUUGAGAUUGGGGUAGUCCCAGGGACGAGAUCCACCACAAACUCAAUCUCCCUAUCAGGGGCCAUACCCGGUAGCUCAGCUGGAAACACGUCCUGAAACUCCCGCACCAUCGGGAUAUCCUCAAUCCUAGGGGUGUCAUCAUCGUCCCUCACAACAACACUAGCCAAAUAGGCUAUGCAGCCUCUGCUGAUCAGCUGCCUAGCUCGAGACGAGCUGAUCGUCAUUGCAAAGAGCGAACUUCGGCAUCCUCUAAAUACAACCUCAGUCUGCCCCGGUUCUCUAAAAGUAACCGUGCGAUUCUUACAAUCGAUUGUGGCAUAAUACUUAGUCAGCAAAUCCAUGCCCAAAACCACAUUGAAAUCCCCCAGCUUGCGCAAAGCUAGCAAAUCCACGGGCAUAAUUCAGUCUCCUACCCGAACAGGGCAACUGGGGCAAUACUCUCUAAUAUCCAAAAUGUGAUCGGGUACAACAACAUGUCCCGGAUGUAACAAGAAAAUCAAUGGGAUGCCAUGCAACUCGGCGAACAGCCCAUCUAUGAAUGAGUGUGAUGCACCAGUAUCAAGUAAUCCACGAACUCUAAUGCCAUCAAGUAAAAUGAUACCUGCAACCACAUCCUCGGCUGCUGCCGCCUCCUCGGUCUAAGCGGCAUACAUGCGCCCACUCGGGGCCUGUCGAGAUCCCUGGCUCUGUCGCUGGACGGAUGACCGCCCAGGCUGGUACUGUGUCGAUGGAGUCCCCUGGCUGGCGGCUGGUAGGGCCGGUGCUGAUGCAGUCGACGGUACCGGUGACAAACCUCUCGGGCACUCAGUCCGGAUGUUGCCCUCCUGGCCACACUAGUAGCACCUGCCCACCCGCUGUGGACACUACGGUGGGUAGUGAGGACCACCGCAGAUCACACACUGGGAAGGCCAGCGACGAUCAGAUCCUCCUCGAUGUGCUGCCGAGCCGCGCCCACACUGCUGGCUCCGAGGGUGCUUCGGCGGCCUCCUAGAGUGCGUCUGGCUCGCACCCUCAGCCACGAGCCUCUUACCCUUGCCUUUAUCCAAGGCCUCUCACCUCUCCUGAACAUCUGCCGCACCGCUCUCCAAAAUGAGCGCGCGAUCCACCAUCUCCCGGUAGGUUUGGAGGUUAGAGGAUUGCACAAACUGGAAAAUCGACGGUCGCAACCCUCGCUCGAAGACGCGUGCCUUAUCCUCGUCGUCCCGCAUGACGAAAGGCACGCAGUGCAGAAGCCGAGAAAACUCCCUCUCAUACUCGGCUACAGUCCGGUCUCCCUGGAGCAAGUUGCGCAAGUCUUGCUCCAUCUUCCUCUUGAUGCUGGUCGGGAAGUAGUGUGCCAAAAGAAGCUCCUUGAACUUCUUCCAAGUAAUAGCCGCUAAGUCGGUGCUGGGGUUCUCCUGAAGAUCCAACCACCAGUGAUAGGCCUCGCCGUCCAAGUGGUGAGUGGCGAGCCAAACUCGAUCCCUCUCCUCCACGAAGGUAUCGCGGAAGAGUUUCUCCAUAUGCAUCAACCACUUCUCCACGAUCCAGUGGUCGACCUUUUCUCCGUCAAAGAUUCGGGAACUGCACCUCCUGAAUUCGUUGAGACGCUCCAUCAGUCUGUCCCUCUCCUCUCCAACAACUGUCACGGGAAAAACUGCCCCUGUCGUAGGCACCCGAACUGGCGGUGCCGCAAUCGCCUCCUCCUGUGGUACUGCCGCAGGCGUCGUCCGAGAUGUGUCGAGUGGCGUACGAGCCUAUGUCUCUCUAGCAGUAGCCUGCUGAAGUAGGAGGUCCUCCAAGCGCUUCAUCCGCGCCUCCUAUCGGCGCGCUGCCUCCGCCUCGUAUGCUCGACCCAUGUCACAAUGAGCCGCAAGCUGGCCCCUCAACUCACGGACUUCGUCGGAAUCCUAGGUAGCGGAGGUCUCGACCUCCUCCAAGCGUGCCGCAUUGUCCGCUCCAGCAUAGAGCGUGCGGCAUGUCCUCAACAUCAUAAAAGCGCAAGUUAGCAAAACCCACGCUAUCGAAUCCCCGCUCAAUUAGGUAAAAUCAAAUCAUGCGAAAGUAAAGAAGUGUCUUCACUACUAACUCCGAUGUUACGUUGUCGGCGCCAACGUAACCCUCUGUGUAAGUUAAAGCUAUACAUUUCAAUUUAACUCACUUUCUAGAGUUAUUCAAGAACCCAAUCAUGAUACUUUUGCUUACAAAUCAAUAGACCUUGUCUCUCACGAGCCUAUUUCCUAUAGUCCAACCGGCCUAAGGUUUGCUAGGUACACUAAGACUCAACCCUAGCUCUGAUACCAAAUUAAUCUCUCACGCCCCGGGACCCACGGAAGCCCGCCGGCGGUGCCCAGACCCGCCAUAUGUCUAAAAUAUAUAAGGCGUCUACAAUAAAACGAUAAAUAAAGCAAUAAAAGGAGAACGUCUAGGAAGUAUCAGGCAUAGUACAACUAGAAUUAUUAACAAGGAAGCGAAUAAAAGAUCCAACAACAACUAAUAAAGCCGUAAAGUGGUACAAGAGAUGACUCAAAACAAGUGCUAAACGAGUACAUAGGGGUCUCCUAUACAUGGUACAAAAAUCUCUCCUCUCUACUACAACAAAAGAAAGAGUAAACCACCUUAAGAGCAAGUAGCUCCCCGGUAUCUAGCUAGGCGACCCCUUGCCGCGUCCCGUGCCUCCGCCGGUGCUGAAGGCUUUGAAAUAAAACCAUAAAACAUAGGGCGUGAGAACUAUUAAUUAAUGUUCCCAGUGGGCAAUUACUGACACUCAGCGAAAAGCACCACUAGGCCCAAAAGAGCUAAAAGGUUAAGUAAACAAGUAAAAGCGAUAUGAACGACUGUUAAAUAAACAUGUAAACUUGCUACCACACGAUUGUCUCUACUUAGCAUGAUUUGCAUAAGUAAUGAAGCUACUGUAACAUGUAGAUACAUGAGUGUAACUAACAUAAUGCUCGCAAGCUAAAUAGUACAAUGUCAUUGUUUACUAUUCUAUCGAUGUCCACUUGGCAUGUUAACUACUUAAAGUUUAAAUCUUGUAAGACCCGCUCGAAGGCUGUCUGACCUGAAAACCCACCCGUAGGCUGUCUGCCCGUGCGUGCCUAAUGGCCCCGUGGUAGUCAAACAUCCCCACUCUAGGAAUGAGCCUUGCCACGGCAAUCUACUUCGGCGCCCAAUCCCGCACGGCGAGUAUGUAUCGCAGAUGGUGUCACGCCCCGGGACCCAGCGGAAGCCCGCCCGGUACGUGCCAGACCCGCCAUACGUCUAAAACAUAUAAGGCGUCUAAAAACAACAAUGAUAAAAGCAUAAUAAUAAAGGACAUCUAGGAGUAUCAGAGCAUAAUAAAUAUCUAAAUGCUACAACAAGGGUUAAGGAUAAAACUGUAAAUCCACUAAAUAAACAUAAAGUGAUACAAGGGAAAUCCCAGAUACAAAUGCUAUAGGUAAGAUCAUAGGUGGUCUCCUAUACAUGGAUACAAAACCUCACAUCUCUCUAACUACAAAAAGAAAGAGUAAACCACCUAGGCAAAGUACCGCUCCUCGCUAGCUAGCUAAGCGAUCCCCUGCCGCGAUCCCGUGCCUCCGCCGGGGUGCCGAAGGCUCUGAAAAGUAAACCAUAAAACAGGGCGUGAGAACUAUUAAAAAUGGUUCCCAGUGGGCAAUUACUAGAUUCAGGGAAUGCACCACGAGGCCCAAAGCUACAAAAGAUAUCAGUGAUAAUAAAAAGUAGAAAAGCGAAUGGUAAGUAAAAUCGUAACUUCUACUACAAAUACAGUCUCUACUUAGCAUGAUUUGCAUAUGUAAUAAAGCAACAAUAUCAGAAUGUACAUGGAUGUGUAUGACAUGCAUAAGCAUAGAAAUGCAACUAAUCAAUGUCCUCAAUGCAGAAACAGCAAAGGUGUCAUUGUUUACUAUUCUAGUCCAAGUCACUUUAAUAGUUUUAAAGUUCACAUUGGAUGAUCUGUCACCAAGUCCAAUCAUAUAAGACCCACCCGGAGGCUGUCUGGCCUGCGCCGUGCCUAAUGGCCCCGUGGUAGUCAACAUCCCACUCUAGGAGAUGAGCCUCCCCCACGGCAAUCACGGCGCCCAAUCCCCCGUACGGCGAGCAUAUGUCGCGAUGGCUACUCCGAGUGGCGGCUUGUAGGGACGACCCUCACAAGCAUGUGCGAAUGAGGCACAAAUGGCAAGCAAGCAAUGAUCCGUCUCAAGUACCAAGUCCUCAUGUCUAAUAACAUGGAAUAUAGCAAGUAUCUCAAUGGCCUAUCUCUAUGUCAUCAUGUCUAAUAACAUGGAAUAUAGCAGAUGUACAAUGGCCUAUCAUCAUGUCUCUAAGUUGCAUUUUCAUAGUUUACUAAUUCCAAGUGCCCCUUUAUGACACUUUUGUUCAACGAGUUCCAAGCAUGGCCUUAAUAUGUUCAUGAUGCAUAAUUCACUCAAUUCUAGCAUGGAGACAUAUUCUCAACUUGCAAAACCAAGCACUAUCCACAAUGCAUGCAAUCUACACAUAUAGCUCUACUAUAUGGAGUACAGAUUUUACAAUAUAUGAGGCAUGCAUGUUAAGUGUUCUAACAUUUACAUAAAUCACAUUUAGCAUGAAUUUGCAUUCAAAAAUACUUUACGAAAAGUUUAGAAAGCAUAGGGGCCAUUUUGCCCUAUUUUCAUGAAGUCAAGCCCACCGAUGACAACGAAACUCCUCGUUUGCUCCAACGAGGGUGUCCUCUAGCCUCCUAGUAUCCUAGAGGUAUGAAAACAAGUGUCACCUAACCGAAACGGAUGACGCUAAGCUCAAUCAUUAACCAUCUUGGGCUAGGGUUGGAGAAAACUCACCGAUUGCGAAGGAAGCUCUCUCAAUCUCCAAAUGGGAGCUAGAGUCCUUCCAAUCUAAUCUAAACAAAGGUUCAAAAUCCAUCAAUUUGGUUUCAAAGCCCUCAAAUCAAAAGUCCCCAUUUUUAGCCCCAAUAUGCCAAAUCUAGGGUUUCAUCUCAAGAAAUCCAUAAAAACUCAAAUCUAGAGGGAGAUAACAUGUUGCUUACCUCUUAGAAGCUUCAAACCAAGCUCUAAAUGCUCUAAGUCCAAAGAGCUCUCCUCAAUCAAGCCUCAAACCCAAGCUCCUAGCUCCAACAACGGGGGAGAAGUCUCUAGCCAAGCAAAAGAGAGUUUAAU
rnacentral:lncRNA from 1 species